AACGAACGCUGGCGGCAUGCCUAACACAUGCAAGUCGAACGAACCCUUCGGGGUUAGUGGCGCACGGGUGCGUAACGCGUGGGAAUCUGCCCUUUGCUUCGGAAUAACUCAGGGAAACUUGUGCUAAUACCGGAUGAUGUCUUCGGACCAAAGAUUUAUCGGCAAGGGAUGAGCCCGCGUAGGAUUAGGUAGUUGGUGGGGUAAAGGCCUACCAAGCCGACGAUCCUUAGCUGGUCUGAGAGGAUGAUCAGCCACACUGGGACUGAGACACGGCCCAGACUCCUACGGGAGGCGGCAGUGGGGAAUAUUGGACAAUGGGCGCAAGCCUGAUCCAGCAAUGCCGCGUGAGUGAUGAAGGCCCUCGGGUCGUAAAGCUCUUUUACCAGGGAUGAUAAUGACAGUACCUGGAGAAUAAGCUCCGGCUAACUCCGUG
rnacentral:rRNA from 1 species